CGGGGCUGGAGCGGGGGUAGGCGGGGCUGAGAUGCACUUCGGGCCGGUUGGCCGCAGCUUGGCCUCUUUCUGUUCGCCGACCCUCUUUAGGGUCUCUCUUUUCCCUCUUCCCCGGCCCCGGUGGCGGCUUCGGUGGCAGAAGUCUCUUACCUGCUGGGCUGUCAGGCCUGGCAUUGCCGGCGACCGCCGAUCCUCCCCUCUCCUUUCGCCGGGUGACUGCUGCGGGGGUGUCCAGUGGCUAGUGCCCGCUGGCUAACAACCCAACCCUGCAACGUGGGACGGUUGGUCGGGAGCCUUGCCUCGGGCGUCCCUGGUGUCAUCCGAGGGGUAAUCCUGCUGCCCACCUUCUGAAUCGGAGGUGCUUUGCUGCAGGACAGGCUCCUGUGGAUGUUCGUUUACCACCUUAAUGAAUCACCGAGCUUCUUUUUUCCAUGGGGGACUUAGACCAAAAGUUGAUCCUUAUGGAUGGUUUCAUUGAUCAUAGAUUGAACAGUGAGCAUGUUCUCAAUCAAGUGCAGCUUAUGAGAGAUCAGAUUGAUUUGGCUUAUGUCAAAGCAAUAUAAAUGCAUUUAGUUUGAAAGCUGGGUCAGUACACUAUUAGAUAUUAGAUAAUUACAGUGCUCGUUAUUGAUUUUAAUGCCAACGUUUGAGAUCCCAGUGACCAGUGGGCAUAUUUUUGCUGCUUGUGUGAUUGAAUUCAUUAGCUGUCAUAGCAGGAAGUAUGUUUUACAAAUUGUCAGAUGCUUGACAAACUUUUUCUAGUUUUGAGGGCCACAUUUAGAAGAUUAUAAGAGGUGAUGGUUACUUUUCAUUUUGAAAGCAUUCUUCUGACACUCUUUGGAAUGCUCCUAAAGCGGAUUGAAUUUAGAGACUGACCUUUUUUUCUGACCUCAAACUUUAGAGGUUAAGAAGUUUGAUUGCAGAGUUCUCUCCACUUUCACUGUUGCCUCCUCUGCCCUAAAAUACAGGUGUUCUUGCUUGAGUUUCUCUGUCCACCUCUAGGAUGCUGUGCCGGAAGUGGGUCUGGAAUAAAUGAGGAAGCAGGUGGAAAAUUAUUUGGCUUACUGUCAAGAUCUUUCACGCCCUGGGUAAAAGUUAGAAGUUGUUUGCUCUAUAAAUUUUCCAGUCUGUUUAUAAUUGAUUUAGCCUGUUAUGGGGCAGUUCUCUUCUGUCCUAUAGGGUCACUAUGAGUCGGAAUCGACUCGACGGCACUGGGUUUUGUUACCGAGGCAAGGUGCUUCCUUGGACCUGGUGCCUGGGAGAAUCUAGCCUUCAAGAGAAGUAAUCCAAUUUGUUUUUAUUGUCGUGGGUUAUAAACUAUUAUUCUUUAUUCUCUUUUAGCAUGAAAGAGAGGAUUUGGAGUGAAGUCAAUGGAGUCUAUUCAUUUUCAACCCAUUCUUCCAUAUUUAUGCAAUACAGUAUCUACUAUUAGAUUCAUGCAGUCAUUUAACAUAUAUUAUGUUCUUAGUCUGGGCUAGGAGUGGGCCUAGAAAGGUGAAUAAGAAAGACAACAUCCCUGGUCUUUUUGAUGAAUUGUGGUGAUCAAGACCGUGUAAAAAAAGGUCAAAGAAGGUAAGUUUGGAUAGUGAUGCAUGAUAUAAGGAAAAAAAAAUCAGAAUGGAGUGACAGAAAGGGAUGGGGAAUGCCCUUUUAGAUAAGAAGGGAAGGCCUUUCUAAGAAAGUGACUUAGGUGAGAAGACCUGAAUGAUGGGAAACAAGAAGCAGCCUUGCAAAGACUAGGUAGAGAAAGAACAUUGUAGCUGGAGGAAAAAGCAGUGUAAAAGUCAUGGGUAGGGAACAAGUUUGACAAGUUCAGGGAUUCAGUGAGGGUCUUCUGGGUCAGUGAAAAAGAGGAAGACCCUCAAGGAGGUGGCUUGCAACAAUGGGCUCAAACAGCAACAAUUGCGAAGAUGGCCCAGGACCAGGCAGUGUUUUGUUCUGUUGUACAUAGGGUCACCAUGCAUCGGAACUGCUCGUUGGCACCUAACAACAACAACAAUUUCUGGUUCAUGCAGCCUUGGUGCUGAUUCCUGUGAGAGUGAAAUUGACAGCCUGAUAUUUAUUUGUCCUGGAAUCUCUCAGGGAAAACUUCUCACUGCUCUUCAGCUCCCAGCAGCCCUCAUUUCCCAUUAGUAAAUGUUUAUAUAUCUGUGUGAAGUCUUUGGAAUUGAAUUUUUAUCCCUGUUAUUAUUUUAACAUGGGGGCUGAAAAAAGAUGCUUCAAUUUUUAUUUUGCCUAACCGAUGUAUCUCUAAAGGAUUUUCUAUAAUGUUUCACAAUUGUUACAAGAUAAUUUACUCUCUGAACUACUGGAACUAGGCAGAUUAGUUAAAUAGCAAGAGGCCAGCUAACUCAGUAAAUACUAUAAAGCUGAUAACGCUUUGAGAAAAGAGCAUUCUUUGUUAUGACGAGCUACUCGGGUUUGUUUUGGUUUUUUUUUUUUUUACUCUUAUCUUGGAAAGGAGUUAUAGCUUCCUUGUUUUUUGAGUUAUACCUUUUUAUUUGGCAUUAGAUAAAACAGUUUGCAGUAGAAUAUUGGGUGGACUUGUUUCCUGGGCCCUGGGCAAGUUUUUAGUAGUUAGGACCUUUUUCUUUCACUGAACUCUUGAUGAAAGUCUAAAAUAAUUUAUCCUGAACAGGAGUUGUUUUCUUAACUUCUCCGAGCCUCAAUUUUAUUCGUUUUUUUUUUUUAAGUUGUUAUUCAUAUUUGCACUUUUAUUACAUAAUGUUGAGAAAUGUUUAAAAAAAAAAAAAGCAAGUUUAUUGCCCACACAUAUUUUUUCUUUUUUGAAUUGCUUGUUGGAAUAUAUUUCUGUUUGAAUAUUUGUUGUUAAUAUGCCAGAGUUUAUUAUAUUCAAGAUAUUAAUUCAUUGAUAUUUAUGGGUCAGGAGAAGAAAUUAGGAACCGUGAGUCCUGGAACCUUGCUCUGGCCAUAGGAGAAAAAAUGUUCUACUGGCCUCUUUUACUUAUAGAGAGGAAGGAAUUUACCCAAGCAUUUGAUCUGGCUUGAGUUCAAAGAAAACUUUAAUUUCAAGGCUUUUGCCAGUUCUUUAUGUUGCAAGAAUGGAGACUGGGAUCCAUUUCUUUCUUUUUUUUUUUUAUUCAGUUAUUUUCUUGUGUGUUAUUAUUUUUUUUUAAUUGUACUUUAAAUGAAGGUUUACAGUACACAUAUUGUUUUAUGAUAUUGGUUAACAACCCUAACCAUAACUGUUGCUAUCGAGUCCUACAACAUGUCAACACUCUCCCUUCUCAAACUUGGGUUCGUUGUCACCAGCUUUCCUGUCCCCUCCUGCGUUCUAGUCCUUGCCCCUGGGCUGGUGUGCCCCUUUAGUCUCAUCUUGUUUUAUGGGCCUGUCUGAAACCCUGGUGGUAUAAUGGUUAAGAGCUACGGCUGCUAACCAAAAGGUCAGCAGUUUAAAUCCACCGGGCAUUCCUUGGAAACUCUGUUGGGCAUUCUGCUCUAUCCUAUAGGGUCGCUAUGAGUUGGAAUUGACCCGAUGGCAGUGGGUUGGUUUGGGUAAUCUUUGGCUAAAGGGUGAAUGAACCUCAGGAGUGACUUCAUUACUGAGGUAAAAGGGUGACCGGGAGCCAUACUCUCAGGGUUUCUCCAGUCUCUGUCAGGCCAGUAAGUUUGGUCUUUUUUCGUGAGCUCUGAAGAAGAUUCUGAGUCUCCAUAUAUACUUUUUCAAUGAUUUGCUCCAAACAUCAAGUUUCACUUAGGAAACGAAUUGAUUAGAUUGAUAUUAAAAAUUAUUUUCUCCAACCCAGAACUGUGGAAGAAGUAAAGCCUGGGAGAGAAAGGUGUGUUUGAUUGUUCCUGGCCCUGCACAACUGGGCAGGCAAAGCUUGAUAGCUUAUUGUAAUUGUCUUUUAAUAUGUUAGUGUCUCCAUUUGAAUAGAGCUGUACAGUAACCCUUUAGGUCUGCAAACCGGGAACCUAGAUUUGGGCUCUUCUCUCUCUAGUGGUAUCUGUCUGUGCCAUCCGGGAGCCAGGGCAAUGCUAGUGGGUGGGAGGCAGGCAGUCUCAUCAGAAGUGAAUGAGAGGUCCGAGUAGGAAAGUGUGUGACACCACCACCGCCCUUCUUGAUUGGCUGUUUUAUUCCAGAUACUUUGAGAAAAGAAGAAGCUGGGCAGAUGACCUGAGGGAGGUGGAAAGGGGGGACCUCACUACAACCAAGAAGAAGAGACAGGAGCAGAGUGCAUCCUUUGGAUCCAGGCUCCCUGCGCUGAAAACCUCCUAGACACCAGGAGACAGAGAAAGAGAACUAUAACACAGGAGAUCGCAUAAGAUGGUGAGAAGCGGUGGCAGCAGAACCAAAAGAUUGGUGUGAGAUGGCACAGUGAGCUUCCUGGCCCAUGGGAUGAGAUGGUUAUAGUGGGUGUGCCAACCCCCAGGGUGAGAGAGCUGAGUGCUGUUGGACAGGAGGCUUCCUGACAGAGUGGGGUGCCUCCGAACACUUGGCAGAGCUAGAUUUGCCAGCUACUCAUGGAGCAAGAGAGCUGAGAGCCUUGGGGCUGAGGUUGCUGACAGAGUGGGUACUCCCGGGCACUUUUUGGUGGAGCUAAACAGCUUUGUAACACUUGCACGAGCAGGGGAAAAGCUGGGCCAAAGGGCUGAGAGGCUGAGGGCCAGAGAGAGACCUGCAUGCGGCCACGGCAGAGAAGACACUGUCCUUAUUAAGAACUGUAUCCUGGGUCAUCCCUGAUCCUGAAUUGUAACAUGUUACUUCCCUAAUAAACUCCGUAACCAAGUAUGGUCUGUGAGUUCUGUGUGACCUUUGCAAUGAAUUAUCGAACCCAGCAGAGAAGUAGAGAGUGCCGUGGAGGGAUGGAUGGUGUCAGAAUUGGUAAAAAGGCUGGAAGGUAGAGGUAUAUCCGACCUCUGCCUCACAGGAACCAGCUUUGGGCUGUUGAUGCUGAUAAUGAUUUUCUCGCCUUCCCUUUGUGAAGUUAGACAAGGAGGUCAGGCACCUCUGCCACGCCAUUUUUACAAAAUGGAAGAAAGUAGAGGGGUAAUAGUUUCUUCAUUUUACAUGGUGGGGAAUCAAUAAAUAUGACCCAAAAUUGGUGAAUUCAAACAUAAAGCUGUAAAUCUGGUUUUUAGAAUUGUGAAUUCCAUAUUUUUAUGCAAAUAAUGCAUGCCUUCUACGUUUAUUUGCCAACCUGGUCUUUCCCCCUUGAGGUAUUUUCGUAAGCAUGCUCUGCUGAUUUUUUUACAGCAACAUGUUAAAAAAAAUUGGCAUAGCAGUGCUUAUGAAAAUACCUCGCAGGGGAGGGUGCAGUUGGCAGACAUGGAGAAGGCACACAUUAUUUGUGUAAAAAUAUGGUAAUCAUCAAAAAUAUUGAAAACAGUUAAACUGGUUGAAAGUGGCAGGUGGGGUAGAUUUUACUUUUCAUUUUAAACUGUUCUGAUGAUUUGGAGUUUUAAAAAAUUAUAUUUCUAUAUAUUCCUUUUUUUGAAUAAUUUUAUAAAAAAAUUGAUAAAAAUUGGAAACUUUUUUUUUCCUUCUACUUUUAAAGUUCCUCCUCCUACUCUCAGAUUCCCUAGGAAUAUACCUCAAGUUAUAAAGAUUGGUAUUGCUUAGAGAGUAAGAAUUGAAAUGGCAGGAAGAGGGGAAGAAGGGAGACUUGCUUUUCACUUAAACAUCACUUUGUACUCUGGACUUUUAAAAUAAGAGCCCAUCAUAGUUUAAUGGCAACUAAAUGUAUAUGAAUUUAAAGAGUAAAUCUUUUCCUUAUACUCUGUUGAAGAAACAGUUUGAAAACACUGCAUAUUAAAAAAAAAAAAUCAGGGUAUAUAUAAACUGCUAUUUACUAUGUAAAAAGGUACACUUCCUUGUAGAUGCACGACUAUUUCAGGAAGAAAAUGUCGGAAACUAGUUACAUUGAAAACCUCUGAGGAGGGAAAUGAGCCCACAAAGGAGACUUUUUACUGAAUAUCCUUGGAAUUUUGUGUCACAUGAAUUUAUUACCUGUGAUGGUUAAGGUUGUGUGUCAGCUUGGCUGGGCCAUGAUUCUUAGUGGUUUGGCAGUUACAUCAUGAUGUAGCUUGGCAGUUAUGUAAUGAUGCAGUUGUCCUCCAUAAUAUAAUCUGAUAUGAUCAGCCAGUUCUAAGGGGAGUUUUAUUGGGGGUGUGGCCUACAUCCUAUAUAUAUGUGUGUAUGUGUAUAUAUAUAUGUGUGUGUGUGUAUAUAUAUAUAUAUAUAUAUGGAUGUUCUGGCAAAGUUUGCUCACUUUCUUUGGAUCCUACAUCAGCUUGUCAUCUGACUUCCAGUUCUUGGGACAUGAGCCAGUGGCUUGCCAUGUUACCUGCCAGUCUUGGGAUUUUUUUGGCCUCUGUAGCCUGUGAGCCAACAGCUGGCUGUUUGACCUGCCCAUAUUGGGUUUAUCAGCCCCUGCAACUACGUGAGUCAGGAGAAGCCUCCAGCCUGAUGCCUGACCCAUGGACUUGGGACUUGCCAAACUCUGCAGCGGUGUGAGCCAUUUCCUUGAGAUAAACCUCUCUCUCUCUUUUUUUCCUCUCUCUCUGUAUAUACAUCCUUCGCUGGUUUUGCUUCUCUAGAGAACUUAGCACAAGUAAGACAUUACCUAUUCAAAUAAGUUUGAAUGGAUCACUAUGUAUAUUACAUGAUUCUAGAACAAGAAAAAUUUUACUUUGUAGCUGGAAUUUGUUAUGUAUUGUGAGGUAAUACAGAAAUUAGUGGUGAGAAUGUGAUUGUUACAUUAUCUCUUUUUAACUGAAAUUUUUAUUGAGGCAAUUAUAAAUUGACAUGCAGUUGUAAAAAAUAAUACAGAGAAGUCUCCUGUACACUUUACCAAGUUUCCCUCACUCAUCUAUGCCAAAAAAUUUGGAAGAUGGCUACCUGGCCAGCUGAGUGGAUGAGACUCAUAUUUGUGCCCAUUCCAAAGAAAGGUGAUUCAGCAGAAUGCAGAAAUUAUCAAAUAGUAUCCUAAAUAUCACAUGCAAGUAAAAUUUUGUUGAAGUUAAUUUAAAAACGGUUGCGGCAGUACACUGACAGGGAACUGCCAAAAAUUCAAGCUGGAUUCAAAAGGGGAUGUGUAAAAUAAGGGAAUAUCAUUGCUGAUGUCAGAUGGAUCUUGGCUGAAUGCAGAGAAUACCAGAAAGAUGUUUACCUCUGUUUUAUUGACUAUGUAAAGGCAUUCGGCUGUAUGGAUUAUAACAGAUUAUGGAUGACAUUAUGAAGAAUGAGAAUUCCAGAACGCUUAAUUGUGUUCAUGUGCAACCUGUACGUAGAACAAGAGGCAGUUGUUCAAACAGAAUGGGGGCUACCGCGUGGUUUAAAAUCAGUAAAGAUGUGUGCCAGGGUUGUGUCCUUUCAUCAUAUGUAUUCAGUCUGUGUGCUGAGCACAUAACCCGGGAAGCUGGACUAUAUGAAGAAGAACAGGACAUCAGAAUUGGAGGAAGACUCAUUAACAACCUGUGAUAUGCAGAUGAUGCAACCUUGCUUGCUGAAAGCAAAGAGGACUUGAAGUACUUAUGAAGAUUAAAGACUACAGCCUUCAGUAUAGGUUACACCUCAAUAAAAGCAAACAAAAAUCCUCACAACUGAAUCAGUAAGCAACAUCAUGAUAAAUGGAAAAAGUAUUGAAGUUGUCAAGGAUUUCAUUUUACUUGGAUCCAUAGUCUGCGCCCAUGGAAGCCGCAGUCUAGAAAUCAAAGGACGUAUUGCAUUGGACAAAUGAGCUGCAAAAGAUCUCUUUAAAGUGUUUGGAAGCAAAGAUGUCACUUUCAGGACUAAGGUGAUCCUGACCCAAGGCAUGCUAUUUUCAUUCACUUCAUAUGCAUAUGAAAGCUGGACAAUGAAUAAGGAUGAUACCGAAGAAAAAUUGAAUUAUGAUGUUAGUGAAGAAUAUCGAAUAUUCCAUGGACUGCCAGAAGAACAAACAAAUCUGUUUUUGAAGAAGUACAGCUAGAAUGCUUCUUAGAAGGGAGGAUGGUGAGGCUUCAUCUUACAUACUUUAGACAUGUUAUCAGGAGGGACCAGUCCCUGGAGAAGGCUGUCAUGCUUGCUAAAGGAGAGGAUCACUGAAAAAAGGGAGACCCUCAACAAGAUGGAUUGACACAAUGACUGCAACUUUGGGCUCAAAUAUAGCAGUGAUAAUGAGGAUGGCAUAGGACAGGGCAGUGUUUUGUCCUGUUGUACAUAAGGUAGCUAUGAGUUGGAACUGACUUGACGGCACCUGACAACAACCCCAGUGGUAACAUUUUGCAAAACUAUAGUGUAUGGAUGGUACCACAACCAUGACAUUGACAUUACUCUGCAUUACUUUUCAAGAUAUGUGUAUAACCUUUUUUUUCUCAAAGGAAAUUGAAUUAGGGAUGGAUGUUGGUCUAAGUAGUAUUGGACUGAUUUUUGUUAGGGCCCCUGUAUUUUCAGUUUUUCUUAGUGGUUGCCCUAGGAUUUACAAUGUACUUCUUUAAUUAAUCACUGUCUGUCUUUAAAUAUUAUACUGUUUCAUGUAUAGUAUAAAACCUUUCAACAGUAUGCUCCCAGUUCUCCCAUCUCAUCUUUCGUGCUGUUGUUGUCAUACAUUUCACUUUUACAUAUGCUAUAAAUUCAUAACACAUUGCUACUAUUUUUGCUUUUGACAGUCAGUUAUCUUCAUUUUUUUGUAGAUCCAGGUUUGUGUCUGCCUGAAGAACUUUUUAAAAUAAUUUCUUGUAGUCCACUGCUGGUAAUGAAUUCUCUCAGCUUUUGUUUGUUUAAAUAAUCUUUGUUGUUGUUGUUAGGUACCAUUGAGUUGGCUUGGACUCAGUGACCCUAUGUACAACAGAAUGAAACACUGCCCGGUCCUACACUCCUCACAGUCAUUGUUAUGCUUGAGCCCAUCAUUGCAGCCGGUGUGUAACUCUGUCUUGUUGAGGGUCUUCCUCUUUUUCACUGUCCCUCUACUUUACCAAGCAUGAUGUCCUUCUCCAGGGACUGAUCCCUCCUGAAAAUGUGCAAAGUGUGUGAGAUAUAGUCUCACCAUCCUUGCUUCUAAGGAGCGUUCUGGUUGUACUUCUUCCAAGACAAAUUUGUUCGUUCUUUUGGCAGUCCAUGGUGUUAACAGUAUUCUUCUCCAAUACCACAAUUGAAAGACGUCAGUUCUUCGGUCUUCCUUAUUCAUGGUCCAACUUUUGCAUGCAUAUGAGAUGAUUGUAAACAACAUGGCUUGGGUCAGGCCUUUCUUAGUCUUCAAGGUGACAUCUUUGCUUUUCAACACGUUAAAGAGGGCUUUUGCAGCAAAUUUGCCCAAGGCAGUGCGUCUUUUGAUUUCUUGACUGCUGUUUCCGUGACUGUAUAUUGUGGAUCCAAGUAAAAUGAAUCCUUGACAACUUUAGUCUUUUCUCUGUUUAUCAUGAUGUUGCUCAUUGGUCCAGUUGUAAAGUUUUUUGUUUUCUUUAUGUUAAGGUGUAAUCCAUACUGAAGGCUGUGGUCUUUGAUCUUCAUCAAUAAGUGCUUCAAUUCCUCUUCACUUUCAGCAAGCAAGGUUGUGUCGUCUGCAUAUUGAAGGUUGUUAAUGAGUCUUCCUCCAAUCUUGAUGCCCUGUUCUGCAUAUAGUACAACUUCUCAGAUUAUGUGUUCAGCAUACAGUUGGAGUAAGUAUGGUGAAAAGAUACAACCCUGAUGUACACCAAUCCUGACUUUAAACCACAUAGUAUCCCCUUAUUCUGUUUGAACGACUGCCUCUUGAUCCAUGUACAGAUUUCUCAUGAGCACAGUUAAGUGUUCUGGAAUUCCCAUUCUCCUCAGUGUUUUCCAUAAUUUAUUAUGAUCCACACAGUUGAAUGCCUUUGCAUAGUCAAUAAAACACAGGUAAAUAUCUUUCUGGUAUUUUCUGUUUUCAGCCAGGAUCCAUCUGACAUCAGCUAUGAUAUCCCUCGUUCCACGUUCUCUUCAGAAUCUGGCCUGAAUUUCUGGCAGUUCCCUGUCGAUAUACUGCUGCAGCUGCUUUUGAAUGAUCUUCAGCAAAAUUUUACUUGCGUGUGAUAUUGAUGAUAUUGUUCGAUAAUUUCUGCAUUUGGUUGGAUCACCUUUCUUGGGAAUAUGUAUAAAUAUGGAUGUAAGCCAUGAUUCAUGGCUUAGCCAAAUUGACACACAUUAUAUGGGGACAGAAUUCAAUCCAUAACAAGUUUAGAGUCCUGGGUUGACUUUUUUUUUUUUUCCUUUCAACACUUUAAAGAUAAUCACUCCUCUGUUUUCUAAUUUGAAUAAUUUCUGAUGAGAAGUCUGUUGUAAAUGUUAUUUUCAUUUUUCUGCAUAUAAUGUAUCUUUUUUUCCCUUUGACUGCCUUCAAGAUUUUGUCUUUUGUUUUUAGGAGUUCGAACAUGAUGUCUUUAGGGGUUUGCGUGUGUGCAUGUUGAUGUAUAUUCUGUUCGUGGCUUUUUGUGCUUCUUGGAGCUAUAGUUUGAUGUCUUUCAUCAUUUUUGGAAUACUGUCAGUUACUGUCUUUUCAGAUAUCUUUUAUCCUGUUGUCAAUCUUUUUCUUCAAGGGUUCCAAUUACACAUACAUUAGAUUGUUCAGUACCAUCCCAUAGUUCUUGGAUACUCUGUUCAGUUUUUAUCCCCAGUCUGUUUUCUCUUUAUGUUUCAUUUUGGGUGAUUUUCUUCGACCCUCUUCAAGUUCACUUAUUCUUUCCUUAACCAUGUUGAGUGUAUUGCUGAGCUCAUUGCAGGUGUUCUUCAUUUCUGUUACCAUGGUUUUUAUUUCUAGCAUUUAUAUUUCAGUCUUAUAGUUUUCAUUUUUCUGCUUAAAUUUUUUAUAUUUGCUUGUGCAUUUUAACAUACCAAUCACAGUUAUUUAAUAUUCCUUGUCUUAUAGUUACAAUGGAAACCCUGGUGGCUUAGUGGUUAAGAGUUUGGCUCCUAACCAAAAGGUUGGCAGUUUGAAUCCACCAGGUGUUUCUUGGAAACCCUAUGGGGCAGUUCUCCUCUGUUCUCUAGGGCUCCUAGGAGUCAGAAUUGACUCGAUGGUAACUGGUUUUCUUUUGAUUUUGGUAUAGUUAAAAUAAUCAUAUCACUUCUGAGUCUGGCUCUCUUGAUUGUGUCUUGGCAGUGAGUUGUUUUUUUCCUUGUCUUUUAAUGUAGUUUUUGUUUUAAUAUUGGAUGUUGUGUAUAGGACAGUAGAGAAUGAGAGAAAUGGUUUUUAUACCUGGAAAUGGGUAAACCUUUUUUUGUGCUAUAUUAUUUGUGUUGAGGCUUGAGUCAGUAUAGUUAGGAGUUAAGCUUGGUUUAGGUUUUGUUGUUGCUCUGGCUAUCUUUAUCACUGGCUUCAAAUUUCCCUAGCCUUUUGUUUAUUGUAGGACUGGACUGCUGUAGGGUUUUCUUAAUAUUCUUCCUCUACCCUCAGCUUUUUGUGUGCUGUGCACCUGUUCCUUAGAGGGUAUCCCUUUCUGUGAUUUUGUCCCUCUCUAAGCAGUAGACUGUUGGUGCUUUAUAGCCUAAUAGUGGUAGGUGGGAGUUUUCUGUCCACCUGGUCCAGCCUCAGUCUUAGGCAGGUCCUUUAUUCGUGGGUUUUGUGGGUGGGGCGUUCUCACUGAUUUUGCCCCUCCUGUGGUGUGGUAGUAACAGACUUUUAAUGGUGUGGGCCCUGGGGGUUUUCUUGCCUUUUCCCCAGGGCUGGAGGUUUUUUUCGUUUCCCUUUCCCCAGCUAUAGUGGUUCUUCCUCUUUCCCUAGGGUUGACUGGGUUUACUGCCCUUAUUUCUGUAGCCCAAGCCUUUUGUUCUGUUGGGGACAAGGGUCCUGGUGGGGCUUUGUGUCUCCCUCUCCCACACAACAGCAGCCACUGCCCUCUUCCAGACCUGCACCUCCUUGUCCCCAUUCUUUUUUACGACCCCUGGUUGGUAUCUUUGGAGAAGACCAAGUGAGUGGGUGCAAACUCCCCUUCUGUCUGUGGCUUCCGGGCAUUCUAUACUUAUACUCCAGCCUUUAGCACUUCGUAAGAAGUUUUAGCCGAAUUCUUCUUAAGCACUUGUAUGGCGCUUGGCAUCUCUUUUCCGCAUGGUCUGCCAUAGGUCAGCUAGUGCUGGCAUCCUGUCUCUCCCUGGGAGGUGCCUGGCUCCCGUAGAUUUUUGAGUCCUUGAUUAUCCUAUGACCUCAGCUCUCUGAUGGAUUCAAGGAUAGUUAUGAUUUUGUAGAUUAUUUGGUACUUUGUUAUUGUUAGUAUGUGAGCAGUGCUCUUUCUAGUUUUCUGCAUCCUAGUCUAGCCUCCAUGUGUUUUCUGGUAUAUUUGCCAAAUCUGAGCCUUGCUACCCCUACCUUCCCACCCUCUUAGGUAUCUUGUAAGCUGUGCUGGUAGAACUUUGUGAAUGAAUUUGUCGUCACAUGUUCACAUAGGGUGAAAUUUUAUUACUAAUAAAAUACAGUUUUUAAAACAUCAUUUACUGAUUAUUCUCUGUUCUCAAGGAGCAGGAUGGGAUUCAGAUUUAUAAAUUCACUUAGUCUGCUGUUAUUAAUAAAUAGGAAUAAAAAUAAUAUGAUAAAUAGUAAUAAAAAAAAUAGCUAAGAUUUAUUGAGUGUUUAUCCUUUGGUGGAAACCCUGCUGGUGUAGUGGUUGAGUUAACCAAAGGGUCGCCAGUUUGAGUCCGCCAGGCGCUCCUUGGAAACUCUGUGGGGCAGUUCUACUCUGUCCUAUAGGAUCACUAUGAGUCGGAAUUGACUUGACGCGCUGGGUUUGGUUUGGUUUGGUUUUUAUCCUUUGGCAGGUAUUAUGCGAAGCGCUUUGCAUGCAUCAUUGUUCCUGGUGGAUUACCUUUUGACUGAAAAAGAUGUACCUUCCCUUCCCCAAGGAGACAGAUUGUUGUUGACAAUUAGGGUGGUUCCACAGAGCAGGCACCAAAAACAAACAAACAAACAAACAAAAAAACCAA